rnacentral:rRNA from 1 species
UACGUAGGGUGCGAGCGUUGUCCGGAAUUAUUGGGCGUAAAGAGCUUGUAGGCGGUCUGUCGCGUCUGCUGUGAAAACCCGGAGCUCAACUCCGGGCCUGCAGUCGAUACGGGCGGACUAGAGUUCGGCAGGGGAGACUGGAAUUCCUGGUGUAGCGGUGAAAUGCGCAGAUAUCAGGAGGAACACCGGUGGCGAAGGCGGGUCUCUGGGCCGAUACUGACGCUGAGGAGCGAAAGCGUGGGGAGCGAACAGG